rnacentral:rRNA from 1 species
UACGUAGGGCGCGAGCGUUGUCCGGAAUUAUUGGGCGUAAAGAGCUCGUAGGCGGCCUGUUGCGUCCGCUGUGAAAAUCCCAGGGCUCAACCCCUGGGCGUGCAGUGGAUACGGGGCAGGCUGGAGGCAGGCAGGGGGAGAACGGAAUUCCCGGUGUAGCGGUGAAAAUGCGCAGAUAUCGGGAGGAACACCGGUGGCGAAGG